rnacentral:rRNA from 1 species
CCCUUAGAUGUCCUGGGCCGCACGCGCGCUACACUGAUGCAUGCAACGAGUCUAUAACCUUGGCCUGAAAGGUCUGGGUAAUCUUUUGAACGUGCAUCGUGAUAGGGAUAGAUUAUUGCAAUUGUUAAUCUUGAACGAGGAAUUCCUAGUAAACGCGAGUCAUCAGCUCGCAUUGAUUACGUCCCUGCCCUUUGUACACACCGCCCGUCGCACCUACCGAUUGAAUGGUUCGGUGAAGAUCUCGGACUUCGAUAUUUAUUCUUUAUUGAGUUUAUAUUGUGGGAAGUUAUCUAAACCUCAUCAUUUAGAGGAAGGUGAAGUCGUAACA